rnacentral:rRNA from 1 species
AUGGGGUUCCCGGCGGCGUACUCGGAGAUGCCCAGGCUGGUGCUCAACCUCCUCUUCCUCCUCGGCCACCUGCGCCGCCUCUCCUCCUGGCUGCUCCGCCUCGUCGGCGCCGGCGUCGACGACGACCACCUCAGCUUCGACUACUCGGACACCGGCUCCGACGCCUACUUCGCCGACCACCACCUCCACACGCAGCACCACCACGACCACGGCCACGGCCUGGAGGAGCUGGAGGAGCACUCCCCGGCCGUGCGCUUCGACGCGCUCCCGUCCGACGGCGACGACGGGACGGCGCCGCUGCUGCCGGAGGGCUGCGCGGUGUGCCUCGGCGACUUCCACGGCGCCGCCCGGGUGCGCCGGCCGCGCGGGUGCCGCCACGUCUUCCACCGCGGGUGCCUCGACCGCUGGGCCGCCCACGGCCACCGCACCUGCCCGCUCUGCCGGGCGCCGCUCCUCCCGCCGGCGCCGGCGUCUCUGAGUCCCGUCCUCCUGCCCAUGCCGCUGCCGGCGUCGUGA